UACGUAGGGGGGCUAGCGUUGUCCGGAUUUAUUGGGCGUAAAGAGCGUGUAGGCGGCCAGGUAGGUCUGCUGUGAAAACUCGAGGCUCAACCUCGAGACGUCGGCGGAAACCAUCUGGCUAGAGUCCGGAAGAGGAGAGUGGAAUUCCUGGUGUAGCGGUGAAAUGCGCAGAUAUCAGGAAGAACACCCGUGGCGAAGGCGGCUCUCUGGGACGAUACUGACGCUGAGACGCGAAAGCGUGGGGAGCGAACAGG
rnacentral:rRNA from 1 species